rnacentral:rRNA from 1 species
UGGGCUGUUCGCCCAUUAAAGUGGUACGCGAGCUGGGUUCAGAACGUCGUGAGACAGUUCGGUCCCUAUCCGUCGCAGGCGUAGGAAAUUUGAGAAGGCCUGUCCUUAGUACGAGAGGACCGGGAUGGACGUACCUCUGGUGUACCAGUUGUCCUGCCAAGGGCAUGGCUGGGUAGCUAUGUACGGAAUGGAUAAGCGCUGA